AAUCCAUGUUGAGAACAUUUUCACUAGAGAUCCUUGAACCUUUCCUAUGUCUCAAAAGGAGACUCCAAUUCCAUUUGCACAAAGGAAGAUAUCUCAUUUCUGAGCUU